AGGAUAAACGCUGGCGGCGUGCAUGAGACAUGCAAGUCGAACGGACGAUUCGGGCUUGCUCGAAUCGUUAGUGGCGGACGGCUGAGUAACGCGUAGGUGACCUGCCCCGAAGUGGGGAAUAACUGCCCGAAAGGGUGGCUAAUACCGCAUGUGGUCGCACGUUCGGUCGUGCGAGUAAAGCCGCAAGGCGCUUCGGGAGGGGCCUGCGUCCGAUUAGCUCGUUGGUGGGGUAAUGGCUCACCAAGGCGACGAUCGGUAGGUGGUCUGAGAGGACGAUCACCCAGACUGGGACUGAGACACGGCCCAGACUCCUACGGGAGGCAGCAGUCGGGAAUUUGCUCAAUGGGCGAAAGCCUGAAGCAGCAACGCCGCGUGAGGGAUGAAGGCCUUCGGGUCGUAAACCUCUUUUCCGGGUACGAUAAUGACGGUACCCGGUCGAAUAAGCCACGCUAACUAACGUGCCAGCAGCUGC
rnacentral:rRNA from 1 species